UACGGGGGGGGGUAAGCGUUGUUCGGAAUUACUGGGCGUAAAGGGCUCGUAGGCGGCCAACUAAGUCAUACGUGAAAUCCCUCAGCUUAACUGGGGAACUGCGUGUGAUACUGGAUGGCUUGGAUUUGGGAGAGGGAUGCGGAAUUCCAGGUGUAGCGGUGAAAUGCGUAGAUAUCUGGAGGAACACCGGUGGCGAAGGCGGCAUCCUGGACCAAUAUUGACGCUGAGGAGCGAAAAGCUAGGGGGAGCAAACGGGG
rnacentral:rRNA from 1 species